rnacentral:rRNA from 1 species
GACGAACGCUGGCGGCGUGCUUAACACAUGCAAGUCGAACGGAAAGGCCCUGCUUUUGUGGGAUGCUCGAGUGGCGAACGGGUGAGUAACACGUGAGUAACCUGCCCUUGACUUUGGGAUAACUUCAGGAAACUGGGGCUAAUACCGGAUAGGAGCUCCUGCUGCAUGGUGGGGGUUGGAAAGUUUCGGCGUUUGGGGAUGGACUCGCGGCUUAUCAGCUUGUUGGUGUGGUAGUGGCUUACCAAGGCUUUGACGGGUAGCCGGCCUGAGAGGGUGACCGGCCACAUUGGGACUGAGAUACGGCCCAGACUCCUACGGGAGGCAGAAGUGGGGAAUAUAGCACAAUGGGCGGAAGCCUGAUGCAGCAACGCCGCGUGCGGGAUGACGGCCUUCGGGUUGUAAACCGCUUUCGCCUGUGACGAAGCGUGAGUGACGGUAAUGGGUAAAGAAGCACCGGCUAACUACGUG